UACGUAGGGGGCAAGCGUUGUCCGGAAUCAUUGGGCGUAAAGCGCGUGUAGGCGGCUCGGUAAGUCCGCUCUGAAAGUCCAGGGCUCAACCCUGGGAUGCGGGUGGAUACUGCCGGGCUCGAGUCCGGAAGAGGCGAGUGGAAUUCCCGGUGUAGCGGUGAAAUGCGCAGAUAUCGGGAGGAACACCAAUGGCGAAGGCAGCUCGCUGGGACGUGACUGACGCUGAGACGCGAAAGCUAGGGGAGCAAACAGG
rnacentral:rRNA from 1 species